GACAAAAGCAGGUGUUAACAUUGUCACUAAAACACUAAAAUGCUCCUGAAAUUAAGGUCAGCAAUGACUCAAAGCAUUUAAUUAAACAUAGUAUUUUAAUUUUAAAAAUAUUAGCAGUGAUUUAUUUUCUGUUUAUCUA